AUUGAACGCUGGCGGCAGGCCUAACACAUGCAAGUCGAACGCGUGGCGGCCGGGUGAGUAAUGUCUGGGACCCUGCCCGAUGGAGGGGGAUAACUACUGGAACCGGUAGCUAAUACCGCAUACCAUCGGAUGUGCCCAGAUGGGAUUAGCUAGUAGGUGGGGUAACGGCUCACCUAGGCGACGAUCCCUAGCUGGUCUGAGAGGAUGACCAGCCACACUGGAACUGAGACACGGUCCAGACUCCUACGGGAGGCAGCAGUGGGGAAGAGUGCACAAUGGGCGAAAGCCUGAUGCAGCCAUGCCGCGUGUAUGAAGAAGGCCUUCGGGUUGUAAAGUACUUUCAGCGAGGAGGCGGUACUCGCAGAAGAAGCACCGGCUAACUCCGUGCCAGCAGCCGCGGUAAUUC
rnacentral:rRNA from 1 species